GGAUCAAGGAAUCGGUCAUGCCUCGGUAUGUACUGGUUUUAUUGGUUUCUCACCUUCUAAAGAACCGUAAUGCCAUUAAUUUGGUGUCACGGGGAAUUAGGACUGUUACCUUGAAAAAAUUAGAGUGUUUAAAGCAGGCUCACGCUUGAAUACAUUAGCAUGGAAUAAUGAAAUAGGACAUCCGAUUCUAUUUUGUUGGUUUCUAGGAUCGAUGUAAU
rnacentral:rRNA from 1 species